AUCGUUGUAGUCUAGUUGGUUAGGAUACUCGGCUCUCACCCGAGAGACCGGGUUCAAUUCCGGCAACGGAA
rnacentral:tRNA from 1 species